rnacentral:rRNA from 1 species
GUUGAACGCUGGCGGCGUGCUUAACACAUGCAAGUCGAACGGCAACGCUCCCGUUUGCAUGGGUGCUCGAGGGGCGAAGGUGAGAGUAACAUGUGGGCGAUCUGCCCUGUACUUGGGGACAAGCCUGGGGAACUGGGUCUACUACCGGAUAGGUCGAUGGUUUGGAUGGGAUCGUGGAAAGCUUUUCGGUGUGGGAUGAGCUGGCGGCGUAUCAGCUUGUUGGUGGGGUAAUGGCUUCCCAAGGCGUCGUCGGGUAGUCGGCCUGAGAGGGUGUACGGCCACAUUGGGACUGAGAUACGGCCCAGACUCCUACGGGAGGCAGCAGGGGGGAAUAUUGCACAAUGGGCGCAAGCCUGAUGCAGCGACGCCGCGUGGGGGAUGACGGCCUUCGGGUGGUAGACACCUUUCGCUAGGGACGAAGCGCAAGUGACGGUACCUGGAGAAGAAGCACCGGCUAACUACGUG